rnacentral:rRNA from 1 species
UACAGAGGGUGCGAGCGUUGUCCGGAAUUACUGGGCGUAAAGCGCACGUAGGUGGCGACGUAAGUCGGGUGUGAAAGCCCCGGGCUCAACCUGGGAAUUGCAUUCGAGACUGCAUUGCUGGAGUACGGAAGAGGAAGGCGGAAUUCCCGGUGUAGCGGUGAAAUGCGUAGAUAUCGGGAGGAACAUCAGUGGCGAAGGCGGCCUUCUGGUCCAGUACUGACACUCAAGUGCGAAAGCGUGGGGAGCAAACAGG